AUCUUCCUGCACAGAGAGGGAAAUGCACACAAUUACAUGCCACCACAGUCUGCAGCAUGCAAUUGACUAUGAAUUAACCCUUUUUGCCCCCCCAAAAAAACCCUCCACAAAAACCUCUGCCCACAUUAUUGGGAGGACAUUUCCAGUCCUGAAAGAUAUUCACAGGAAGUCAUGU